GCUCGUCCAGGACACACAUGGCCGAGGGCUGGAACUCAGUCGGUGCGCGGUCUGUUUUCUGAGAAGCACAGGCACGCGUGGAGAGCUUACCCGGAGCAGCGGUGCGGGAAGCACCAGGGAGAGCCUGGGCAGGGCAGCAGCUCGGCCGCUGGGGCCACCAGGAUGUAGUCUUUCUGCGUGCGGAGCCCGGACCAGGGCAGUGGCACUGUCAGAUUGCCGGGGCGGGGACGCAGCUGCUGCAGGAUGACUUCCUUCUUCCCGUCCCCGCUCCCCAACCCACCCUGCUCCGGGACUCCCGUUGUUCCAAGACCGGGCAGUGCUGCUCGCUUCCCCGCGGGGGAAGGUCUUUUCUGCCCGGUACCGGCCUGGGCUGUCUCUGCAUGUGCUCCCCGGGACUCUUCGCCUGGUUUUACGUUCUCAGGGCUACUGUCCCGGCUCUCCAGCCUCCGCUCUUCUCCCCAGUCUUCUUUUUCUAGUCGGGAUUGAUCGCUCCGUCCGCCAGCCCAGGUUUGCGCGCACUUUCGUUUUCUGUGCGUCCGAGUCCGUUCAGGACUCCGUGUCCCAGUCCUGGCUUUGUCCGUCGUUUCCAGUUUCAGUGCUUCAGUCCUUUCCGGUGACCUCAGGACCCUGCUUGCUGUGAGGGCGUUCUCAGAGCGCCCUGGGUGUGGGGUCCCACUGCACGUGCUCUGAGGGCUCGCCCCGAAGCCCCCCGACGUUCUCUUGCUUCCGUCGAGGACUUUCUUCUGGAUUUAUUCUUUCUGUCCUUCUGACGUUGGACGUCUCGGACUGACCCACUGAAUCUCUUGUUUCUAUCCUCUUGGGUCACAUCACUCUCGUUUUGGGGAGAGGGCUUCGUUUAUCUCCAGUGCUGUUCUAAGCUUCUCCUUUCCACAGUUGAAGACCACCGGGAGCUUAUGUUGUCUGUUUUGUUGUCCGCGGCAGCUGCUUGUGUUACGAAUGCGCCAUCUUCCUGGCUUUGAGGACACCGAAAGGAUUUUUUCAUUUCUUUUGUUCUUUGAAUUCUUGUAUCUUCUAGUGUCAUUGUCGCCAUCUUCUUAAAGGCGUUGGCUUCGUACUUCAUAUCGCAAAGAUUCCUUAAAUAUUGGUAAUUAUUGUUGUUUAAGGCAAGAGAAAGUGGGCAGAGAGCUCCGAGUCUGUGGGGCUGGUUGUGAAAACAUGUGGGUCUCCCCUCGGUGACCGGGAGCUCGUUACUGUGUGGGAUGUCAGGAGCCUGGUUGCAGAGCCUUUUCCUCUGGGUCUUACGGCUUAAGAAAGACCCCUCUGAUUGGGGGCUGGUCUGCCUGGUCCAGGGAGGCUUCUCGCGCCCUCGUACAGCUCUUCUGUGCCUGCGUCCAGCUUGUGGGAGCAGGCGCAGCCCACGCUCUGCGGAGUGCCCUGGCCUGUCAGGCUUCGAGCCCACCUUCGGCUGCACCACUCCUGUGCUCCACACCGUGGUUUCCUUGGCUCUCCUGAGCGCCUUCAGGUCUCCCAGAAAUUUGCAAAGUAUCUUGUGUCUUACUUUCUUUCUUGUGGGUUUAUUAUUAUGCAGUUACCUUAGUGGGACGAAUAGAGGUCAACUUUGUGACCAUUUGCUCUUGGGAGCAGGAAUUCCUGAGCCCAUUCUCGGCAUUCUGGUUCUUGUCAUUCUGCUCUCCUGCUGCCCUGCAGUCUUGGUAAUGGAUGCCUUCCGCCGUGGAAUGGGUGGCCUGACCACUGUCCCCGUGGCCGCCUCUGUGUUGCAGUGUGGGCGGAUGGAUGUCCUGCGUUCCUGCUGCGGUUCUGGCUCCGCAGCCUUGGAGCAGGGCCAGCUCAGCCCUGGAAGGCCAGCCGUAGACACAAGUCGCAAAGGUAGAUUCAGACUCGAGGUCGCCUUGGCACACCAGCUUCUCGGACCAUGUCGUGUGAGGAUAGCACUUCAGUGUGCCAGACUUAGGGUCGCUUCUAGUUAAGCAGGAAUUACACUUGAAGUGUAGUCUUGGUGCAUUUUAGUCAAUUAUCCUUUGAAAAUGGUGCGCAGUGAAGUACGGCCCCGUAUCUGCCAGGGCCUAGCAGGGCCCACACAGUGACCUCGCCAUCGCUGGGUGUUCCAAGGAAAAGGCAAGCUCUCAGGCCCCCACCAGACAUACGGAAUCAGAAUCUGCAGCUUUGUAAACUUUUCCUUUUGCAGUAAUUUUAGAUUCACAGAAAAGUUGCAGAGAUAGUUCAGAAAACUUCCCUGUUCCCGUCACCCACUUCCGGUAGUGCUGAGUUCUUACGUAACCAGAUAUCCUAAAAAUCAGAAAGUUAACCUCGGCACAGUACUGUUAACUAAACUGCAGACCUAACCGAAUUUCGUAAGUUUUCCAUUAAUACCCUUUUUGUGUUUCAGGAUUUAAUCCAGGAUCCCACUCCGCACUUAAUUGUCAUGUCUCCUGAAGUCUCCUCCAAUCUCUCAUACUUACAUAGCCCCAGAGUAUCUCUCCCAGAUAUUUGUAAAUUACAAAGGGAAAAAUGGUAACUUCACAGUGGAACAAUCACCUCCUUAACAUCACCAGUAAUAGCACCUAUGAUGUCACGUACCCCAGCUGAUAACCCGAGACACAAGUGCAAGCCCAUAGUCCAGUCCCGAGAGAACCCGAAUGGAGGGUCGUUCACCAGAAUGUUAAUGGGUGUCCCUUAAAAGUAUCCCUGUCUUGCAAGACUGAGAAACACCCAGAAUUUGCAUUUAGAAAGAUGGCCCGGUGUGGUGUAUGCACUUUGAUGCUGAAGAAGUACUUCCUGUGCGAGAACGUCGCCAAGGAGGUGGGCUAGACAACCACAGUCUUGCGGACUGGAAGAUGGGUGCUUCAGGUAUGGGGUCUGGGCGAGCUUGUGAUGGCGUGGCUGGAUAGCCGGCAUCUCUCCUUAAGGAUCUGGUACACCGCGUGAGUCCCCACAGCUGAGCUGUUCAAGUAAAUACGUGACCCACAAGACGGACCUGGAAAGGUGCACGUAACUUUACCAGUUCGGCCCUUUAGAUCUGGGAAAGGAAACGUUUUUCUUUUUUUGAAGAAGCUCCUGGAGGAAAAUACACAUUAAGGUUUUCAAUGAGAUUGACUCAGAUAAAAGCUUUAGAGAGUCCUCUGCACGACAGGUAAAUGACAGCGUUGUGUUCUCCGACGUCACGUAUAGGACGGUCAGAAAAACAAGAUCACACGAUGGCGUGUUCACUCGAGUACUCUGAACCGCUCCGAAACGUUCAUUCUUCUGGGGUGUGAGAAGGAGGGCUAGGGAGCUGGAGAGCAGGCAGCGAGGGGGGUCACGUGACUGCGGCUUGUUUUUGU